ACUAAAUGGGUAUUAAUGGGAUAGGCUCCACAAAUUGCUAUGGCUUUUUUUUCUUCUACCUAUAUGAUGUCUUAAAGCUGAUGGGUGCCAAAGAUUAGAUUUUAUGAUCACAUAUAUACUCGACUUUAUUCAAUUUUAUUCAUAUAUACUCGAUUAGAUUUUGUGAACAUAUAUAACUCCUUUAACAUUGUCCUUGAUUUGCGGUAGAUGACUUUCCAAGGUCAGUGCUAUCAU
rnacentral:lncRNA from 1 species